UAGUAGUGAUGCGGGCAAGUUAUCAAAAAUGAUUUGAAUCUGUCAUAUGAUUGGUAAAGAUUCUCUUCCCCUUUCUGUUUGAAGAUCAAGAUCUCACUCCUUAACUU